AUUAAUUAAAAGCAGUCUUUGUUUUCUGUCUGUGGUUGGCAUUGACAAAUAUUCCUAAAGUUCAUCUUUUUUCCCGUGUCUCACCUUUUGGAUGGGAUGGGUUCCUGUCUGUCUUCUCCUUUCUGAUACGAUUUAUUAGCUUCUGUAUUUCAGAGUCAUAAUCUGUCCAUUCAGGAACAAUCCUGACAGCAGCUUCUAGUUUAGGUUCCUUAGUUUUGGGAUUGUUGCACUGAAAUAUAUAUAUGUAUGUAUAUAUAUUUUAGGGAGAAAAGAGGCUUACUGUGAUUUAAAGUCCAAAACAAAACCCUAUCACUAAAAAAGAAAAAUCACCAUGAAAAGAACUACACAUGUAUUAAAAUGAAAACGGGUGAGUUGCAAAUUAGUUACAUUAUCAGAAAUGUCACAUGCUAUGGACCAGAUGAGAUUAGUCCAGAAUGUAAAAAAUCCUAAGGUAAGUCAAGAAUGUUUCCAUGACCAGUGGCUCCAAA